rnacentral:rRNA from 1 species
AACGAACGCUGGCGGCAUGCCUAACACAUGCAAGUCGAACGAGAUCUUCGGGUCUAGUGGCGCACGGGUGCGUAACGCGUGGGAAUCUGCCCUUUGGUUCGGAUAACAGUUGGAAACGACUGCUAAUACCGGAUGAUGACGAAAGUCCAAAGAUUUAUCGCCAGAGGAUGACCCCGCGUAGGAUUAGCUAGUUGGUGUGGUAAAGGCGCACCAAGGCGACGAUCCUUAGCUGGUCUGAGAGGAUGAUCACCCACACUGGGACUGAGACACGGCCCACACUCCUACGGGAGGCAGCAGUGGGGAAUAUUGGACAAUGGGCGAAAGCCUGAUCCAGCAAUGCCGCGUGAGUGAUGAAGGCCUUAGGGUUGUAAAGCUCUUUUACCCGGGAUGAUAAUGACAGUACCGGGAGAAUAAGCUCCGGCUAACUCCGUGCCAGCAGCCGCGGUAAUACGGAGGGAGCUAGCGUUGUUCGGAAUUACUGGGCGUAAAGCGCACGUAGGCGACUUUGUAAGUUAGAGGUGAAAGCCUGGAGCUCAACUCCAGAACUGCCUUUAAGACUGCAUCGCUUGAAUCCAGGAGAGGUGAGUGGAAUUCCGAGUGUAGAGGUGAAAUUCGUAUAUAUUCAGAAGAACACCAGUGGCGAAGGCGGCCCACUGGACUGGUAUUGACGCUGA